UACAGAGGGUGCGAGCGUUAAUCGGAAUUACUGGGCGUAAAGCGCGCGUAGGCGGCUUUGCAAGUCGAGUGUGAAAUCCCCAGGCUUAACCUGGGAACUGCAUUCGAGACUGCAUAGCUAGAGUAUGGGAGAGGGAAGUGGAAUUUCAGGUGUAGCGGUGAAAUGCGUAGAUAUCUGAAGGAACAUCAGUGGCGAAAGCGACUUCCUGAACCAAUACUGACGCUCAUGUGCGAAAGCGUGGGGAGCAAACAGG
rnacentral:rRNA from 1 species